rnacentral:rRNA from 1 species
UACAGAGGGGGCAAGCGUUGUUCGGAAUUACUGGGCGUAAAGGGCGCGUAGGCGGCCUGCUAAGUCGAACGUGAAAUCCCUGGGCUCAACCCAGGAACUGCGUCCGAUACUGGUUGGCUUGAAUCCGGGAGAGGGAUGUGGAAUUCCAGGUGUAGCGGUGAAAUGCGUAGAUAUCUGGAGGAACAUCGGUGGCGAAGGCGGCAUCCUGGACCGGUAUUGACGCUGAGGCGCGAAAGCCAGGGGAGCAGACGGG